rnacentral:rRNA from 1 species
UGGGGAAUAUUGCACAAUGGGCGCAAGCCUGAUGCAGCCAUGCCGCGUGUGUGAAGAAGGCCUUCGGGUUGUAAAGCACUUUCAGCGAGGAGGAAGGUGGUGAGCUUAAUACGCUCAUCAAUUGACGUUACUCGCAGAAGAAGCACCGGCUAACUCCGUGCCAGCAGCCGCGGUAAUACGGAGGGUGCAAGCGUUAAUCGGAAUUACUGGGCGUAAAGCGCACGCAGGCGGUUUGUUAAGUCAGAUGUGAAAUCCCCGGGCUCAACCUGGGAACUGCAUUUGAAACUGGCAAGCUAGAGUCUCGUAGAGGGGGGUAGAAUUCCAGGUGUAGCGGUGAAAUGCGUAGAGAUCUGGAGGAAUACCGGUGGCGAAGGCGGCCCCCCUGGACGAAGACUGACGCUCAGGUGCGAAAGCGUGGGGCAGCAAACAGGAUUAGAUACCCUGGUAGUCCACGCUGUAAACGAUGUCGAUUUGGAGGUUGUGCCCCUUGAGGCGUGGCUUCCGGAGCUAACGCGUUAAAGUCGACCG